AGUUGUGUAAUGGGGGCUCAGUCACCGAACUUGUCAAAGGUCUACUCAGGUGUGGCCAGCAUUUGGAUGAAGCAAUGAUCUCAUACAUCUUAUAUGGGGCCCUCUUGGGCCUUCAGCAUUUGCACAAUAACCGAAUCAUCCACCGUGAUGUCAAGGGGAAUAACAUUCUACUGACAACAGAAGGAGGAGUUAAGCUCGUUGACUUUGGUGUCUCCGCUCAACUCACCAGUACACGUCUACGGAGAAACACAUCUGUUGGCACCCCAUUCUGGAUGGCUCCUGAG